GCGACCCCAGGUUAAUCGGGAUUACCAGCUGAGUUUAAGCAUAUCAAUAAGUGGCGGAAACGAAACUUAAAAGGAUUACCUUAGUAACGGCGAGCAAAUCGGGAACAACCCAGACUUAGAAUCAGGCGACUCCGUUGUCCGAUUGUAGUCCGGAAAAGCAUCCUCAAUGGCGGACCAGGUCCAAGUCCUUUGGAAAGGGGACCUAGAGAGGGUGAGAGUCCCAUUGUUCUUGGACCCUAUCUCAUCACAAGGCACUGUCUAUGAGUUGAGUUGUUUAGAAAUGCAGCCCAAAUCAGGCAGUGAAUUCUAUCGAAGGCUAAAUACUGGCGAGAGACCGAUAGAAAAUGAGUAAUGCAAGGGAGUGAUGAAAAAUAAUUUGAAAAGAGAGUCAAAGAGUUCUUGAAAUGUUUGAUCGAAAAGAGGAUAGGGGUCAGCGAUGCACCCCAGUCGGAUAUAGAACAACCAUGAUCCAGUCCGCCGAUCGACUCAGGGAGUGGACCAGUAUGGAUUGGGGGAGGCCAAAAUCAAAGAUCUCGAUACACUCCUAGAACACCGUUUCCUCGAUUGUGGCAAGAAGCAUGAGCCUCUGGCGUGGUUCGACAUCUGCGCACUCUAGACGCUGGCUUGUGGGCUACCCAUUUGACUCAUCUUGAAACACGGACCAAGGAGUCUAACAUGUGUGUGAGUCAAUGGGCGAGUAAAAUCAUAAGGUGCAAGGAAGCUGAUUGGUGGGAUUCCCCUAAGGGGUACACCGCCGACCAACCUUGAUCUUCUAAGAAGGGUUCGAGUGUGAGCAUACCUGUCGAGACCCGAAAGACGGUGAACUAUGCCUGAGCGGGGUAAAGCCAGAGGAUAUUCUGGUGGAGUCCCAUAGCUAUACUAACAUGUAGAUCAUUCGUCUAACUUGGGUAUAGGGGCGAAAGAAUAAUUGAACCAUAUACUAGGUGGUUCCCUCAGAAGCUUCCCUCAGGAGAGAUGGAGCUCGCGUGUCAGUUCUAUCAGGUAAAGCCAAUGAUUAGAGGCCUCAGGGGCGCAACUCCUUUUACCUAUUCUUAAACUUUAAAUAAGUAGGACGGUGCGACUGGUUUGUUGAGCUGCGCCACAGAAUUAAGAGCUCCAAGUGGGCUAUUUUUGGUAAGCAGAACUAACGAUGUGGUAUGUACUAAAAUAUGGGUUAUGGUGCCAAAAUACGCUCUAACCUAGAUCCCACAAAGGGUGUUGGUAGAUUAAGACAGCAUGAUAGUAGUCAUGGAAUUCAAAAUCUGCUAAGGAGUGUGUAACAACUCACCUGCCGAAUAACCUAGCCUCAAAAAUGAAUGGUGCUUAAGCACGUGACCUACACCCAGUUGUCAGGGAAAAUGCCAGGCCACGAUGUGUAUGAGGGUACAACGGUCACUAUAGAACUUUGGGCGCGAGCCCGGGUGAAGUGGCCAUCAGUGCAAAUCUUGGUGGUAAUAGCAAAUAUUCAAAUGAGAACUUUGAAGGACGGAGAGGGGAAAGGUUCCGUGUGAAUGAUAGUUUAACAUAGUUUAGUCAAUCAUAAGGUUCAGGAGAACCUCGAUCGAUAGCGCAUUUUGUGUGUACUCUAAAAGAAAAUCAGGUUAAAAUUCUUAAACUGAGACAUGGCGAUCAAUGGCAACGUUAGGAAGUCCGUAGUUAUAGGUGGGAGCCUUGGGAAGAGUCAUCUUUUCUGUUUAAUAGCCUGCCUACCCUGGAAUUGGCUCAGACGGAGGCAGGGUCCAGUGGCUGAAAAAGUAUCGUACGUUGCGUGGUGUUUGAUGUGCUCCUGGUGGCCCUUGAAAAUUUGAAGGAUCGAAUGCCGUCCAUGACUGGUCGUACUCAUAACUGCAUCAGGUCUCUAGGGUGAACAACCUCUGGUCGAUGGAAUAAUGUAAUAAAGGGAAGUCAGUAAAAUGGAUCCAUAACUUUGGGAAAAAAAUUGGGUGGACUUCUUGAGCUGCUCCCACAGCAAGAGCAGGUUGUCGCAUGCCGGCUAGGGGGUAGACUAGGAAUGGUUCCUUCGGACGCCUUCUCUACGUGUCGAACAGCUAACUCAGAAUUGGUAUGGACAAGGGGAAUUCAACUAUUUAAUUAAAACAAAGAAUUGCGAUGGUCCCAAUGGAUGUUCACGUAAUAUGAUUUCUUCCCAGUGCUCCAAAUGUCAAAGUGAAGAAAUUCAACCAAGCGCGAGUAAAUGAUGGGAGUAACUAUGACUCUCUUAAGGUAACCAAACACCUUGUCAUCUAAUUAAUGAUGUGUAUGAAUGGAUUUACGAGAUUCCCACUGUACCUGACUACUAUCCAGUGAAACCACAGCCAAGGGAACGGGCUUGGCAGAAUCAACAAGGAAAGAAUACUCUGUUGACUCUAGUUUGACUUUGUGAAAUGACUUGAGAGGUGCUGUAUAAGAGGGAACCGAAAGGCGAAAGUGAAAUACCGCUACUUUUAACAUUUUAAAAUUAUUUUAUGAACCAGAAGAGGGGCACUGCCCCUCUUUUUGGACCCAAGGCUCGCUCUGCGGGCUGAUUGGGUGGUAGACAUUUUCAGGUGGGGAGUUUUGAUGGGGAGGCACACUUGUUAAAAGAUAAUGCAGGUGUCCUAAGUUGAGCUCAAUAAGAAUAGAAAUCUCAUGUAGAACAGAAGGGUAAAAACUCGUUUGAUUCUCAUUUCUAGUAUAAAUACAAACCAUGAAAGUGUGGCCUAACGAUCCUUUAGACCUUUAAAAUUUGAAUCUAGAGGUGUUAGAAAAGUUACCACAGGGAUAAUGGGCUUGUGGCAGCCAAGCUUUCAUAGCGACACUGCUUUUUGAUCCUUCGAUGUUGGCUCUUCCUAUCAUUAUGAAGCAGAAUUCGCCAAGUGUUGGAUUGUUCACCCACCAAUAAGGAACGUGAGCUGGGUUUAAACCGUUGUGAGACAGGUUAGUUUUACCCUACUGAUGACAGUGUCACAAUAGUAAUUCAACCUAGUAUAAGAGGAACCGUUGAUUCACAUAAUUGGUCAUCGCGCUUGGUUAAAAAUCCAGUGGCGCAAAGCUAUCAUGUUUUGGAUUAUGAAUGAACUUCUCUAAGUCAGAAUCCGGGCUAGAAGUGACCCACAGUAGGGGCCUCAACCCCCAAGGGAACAUGUCGUUGGCUAAUCCAUCGCAGUAUACGAGUCGCGGUGGUCGCCUUGAAGUAUAAUUUCCAUCAAGCAGUGGGUAGAAUACUUUGUAGACAACUUAAGUAUGUUACGGCGUAUUGUAAUUGGCAGAGUUGCCUUCCUAGCAUGAUCCACUGAGAUUCAUCCCUUUGUCGCUCCGGUUUGU
rnacentral:rRNA from 1 species